ACAAACGCUGGCGGCGUGCCUAAUACAUGCAAGUCGAACGGGGAAAGUAGCAAUACGAGUACUAGUGGCGCACGGGUGAGGAAUACAUGGGUAAUCUGCCCUCGAGCUCGGGAUAACCAGUCGAAAGACUGGCUAAUACCGGAUAUGACCACACCAUCUGAGGAUGAAGGGGUAAAAGGUUUUUCGCUUGAGGAUGAGCCCAUGUGGGAUUAGCUAGUUGGUAAGGUAACGGCUUACCAAGGCGACGAUCCCUAACUGGGCUUAGAGGAUGAUCAGUCACACUGGAACUGAGACACGGUCCAGACUCCUACGGGAGGCAGCAGUAGGGAAUAUUGCACAAUGGAGGAAACUCUGAUGCAGCGACGCCGCGUGAGUAAUGAAGGCCUUCGGGUCGUAAAGCUCUGUCGUAUGGGACUAACAAAAUGAAGGUACCAUGCAAGAAAGGAUCGGCUAACUUCGU
rnacentral:rRNA from 1 species